CCUACGGGAGGCAGCAGUGGGGAAUAUUGCGCAAUGGGGGCAACCCUGACGCAGCAACGCCGCGUGAGUGAUGAAGGUCUUCGGAUCGUAAAGCUCUGUCGUUAGGAAAGCGGUACCUAAAAAGGAAGCACCGGCUAACUCUGUGCCAGCAGCCGCGGUAAUACAGAGGGUGCAAGCGUUGUUCGGAAUCAUUGGGCGUAAAGGGCGCGUAGGCGGCCAGGUAAGUCGAAUGUGAAAGCCCAGGGCUCAACCUUGGAAGUGCAUCCGAUACUGCUUGGCUUGAAUCUCGGAGAGGGUAGUGGAAUUCCCAGUGUAGAGGUGAAAUUCGUAGAUAUUGGGAGGAACACCGGUGGCGAAGGCGACUGCCUGGCGAGAUUGACGCUGAGGCGCGAGAGCGUGGGGAGCAAACAGGAUUAGAUACCCUUGUAGUC
rnacentral:rRNA from 1 species